rnacentral:lncRNA from 1 species
UGAGUGGUGAUGUCAACAGGAGUCGAUCCCAGAUCAGGGUGGAGUUCAUGCCCGCGCCCAGGACCGAUCCAUGCGGAGUGGAGCACUCCUGCGCCACUGCUGUCUCAGAACGCGUGGAAAUUGCCUCACUCACUCGUUUGGAAAGCACGAGCAGCCGACGGAGCACGAACAGGCUGCCUGGUUUGCACCUGUGGUCAACCCCGGGUCCGUUGUCCCCAAUGAAUCAUGCACUGCGAGAAGUGAUCCUCUGUGCCAACCAGAGCCGGUCUAGCACUGUAAAUUGCUGAGACUUGCUUUUCUAGACGGAGAUAUCAGCGCGUCUUUCCGCCGCGUUCUUUGUUUCGCAGGCGCGCGGUUCUGGUCAGUGCGUCACUUGCCGUUUAUCCCUGGUAUUCCGAGCGAAAUGCGCGCGUAUCAAUCGUGGAAUGUGUUUCGAGAUUCAACACGGUCCAACAGACCAUCCGAACAGAACUGUGACGACGAAAGUCUUACGCCUAGGAAUCGUCACUGAU